ensembl:miRNA
GGGAGUUGGGCCCAGGGGUAAACAGGAUUCGUGCUUAUGCUGUCUUCACUGUCACUUCUCUGCCCAUAG